rnacentral:rRNA from 1 species
CCUACGGGGGGCAGCAGUGGGGGAUAUUGCACAAUGGGGGGAACCCUGAUGCAGCGACGCCGCGUGGGUGAAGAAGGGCCUCGGCGCGUAAAGCCCUGUCAGCAGGGAAGAAAAUGACGGUACCUGAAGAAGAAGCCCCGGGUAACUACGUGCCAGCAGCCGCGGUAAUACGGAGGGGGCAAGCGUUAUCCGGAUUUACUGGGUGUAAAGGGGGCGCAGACGGCGAUGCAAGCCAGGAGUGAAAGCCCGGGGCCCAACCCCGGUACUGCUUUUGGAACUGCGUGGCUGGAGUGCAGGAGGGGCAGGCGGAAUUCCUGGUGUAGCGGUGCAAUGCGUAGCUAUCAGGAGGCACACCGGUGGCGAAGGCGGCCUGCUGGACUGCACCUGCCGUUGAGGCCC